CACACACACACACACACACACACACACACACACACACACACACACACACGCACGCACACACACACAUGUUGUUGACUCGUCUUCACUGAAUCCACAGGCGCUGAUUGAGUUUAUAAGAGAGUGACCUAGAGGGAACUGUGAGUGUCUGCUGCACCCACGUGACCAAAUAUAAGGCGACCAAUCAGGAAGGGAAUAAAGAUCAUGUGAUAGUGGCC